UCCAGGCAGAACCACAACCACAAAAAAUUGUUACAAUAGUUAUCGUUAUUACGUGUAUGAAUUCCCGUUUCGUCUGACAUCUAGACAUUCAUUGUUAAGUACUUUAGGACAGACAAGUUUUCAUUAGUGACUAUGUGUCUCAAAUAGACGACUCAUAAUACAUAUUUAACUUGUUUCAAAAAAUGUCCACAUGUUUCACAUCAUUAUAAUCUGCACUUUAAUAAGAACCACAUUGAAUGAUUGAUCCAGGACUUGUGUAAUAGGACUUUCCACCUUUUGCAAUUCAACAAUAUACAUCUAGAUGUUAGAGAUUGUAUUACCCAAUGUCGACAUUCCCACGAAUUAUUUAGUAAUAUACGUACUUAUAUCAAAUAACUUAAAAACGUUGAUUAAAAUGCAAAUU
rnacentral:lncRNA from 1 species